UGUCACCUUGUCUAGGCCCCUGGUUUGUUAAAACCAUAUUUCUAAUUAUAAUGGCAGUUGUAACAAAUAAUUUCAACUACCUUCCCACGUCCAAACUGUGAACUGUCACUUGUAAAGUGAUUUUAUCAGUAUUGUGUGAGACGGUGAGAUUGUAAUAAUAAGAGACCGUCCGCCGUGGACCGUCGCGUCGCAUAAUCAACACGUAGACUUUUUAGAUAGUAUGUUUGUGAUAAUCACAGAAGCUAUCAUCUGUACAGAUGUAGUGCAUAAUUUAGCGGGUAAUUUGUAAGUGAAAAGCUAUAUUUUGUUAUUGUAAAACGAAAUGCGCCCUCUAGUUUGCCAUACCGCAAUCCUUUCGUGCUCCCAGCCCGUAUCGUUUCUGUAGCGUGUUGCGAUUAACGAUGGAAUAUUUUGCAAUAUAUUAAUAUAAUUUUUUUAUUCACUAAGUGAUCGUAAAAUAGAGCUGUAUAUUAUCCAGAUGUUAAAUAUUAUUAUUUCUUUCUUAAUGUUUGAACUAAGCAUGUAAAAUUUAAAAUAAUAAUAUAGAAUAAAAGAUGUUAUGAUAAUUAAUUACAUAAAAUCUUCGUUUGAA